AGAAUGCUCUUGCUAAGAGCUAAAAACGCAGAAUGGUGCAACUCGAAUUGGGGGGAAGGAAGUGUAUCUAUUAAGGAAACAAGAAGAGGGUCCACAGAACGUAGAUGCUGCAGUGCAUUGUCAAUCUCUCCAUCAGCUGAUAAGGGCUUGAUGAUUUGGGGCGAAACCCUUGAUGAUUGCGGUGCAGUCUUCCGACGAUUCUUCGUUACGGUAAUCGCUCCGCUGGUUGCAGUGGAUGCUGAUGGUACGGCGGUUUCCGGGGUUUUCCCAUUGGAGGAUGGGGUGGAAGAGAGUUUUCGGAUUUUCUGUGGUCGAAU
rnacentral:misc_RNA from 1 species